GUCGGGCGGGCGGAGAAUACAACACCCGAAAGGGGAAUAAUCCCAGCCGUUUCUUUUGGUCGGCUUUCGAACCACCUGGCACCCUUAA
rnacentral:ncRNA from 1 species